GACCGGACUGGUCCGCUUGGAGGCGCGUCUCGAAGGUGUGCAGGCGGCUCAGGGUGAGCGCCUCGCCCGCCUGGCCG
rnacentral:tRNA from 1 species